CUUCAUAAUUUGAAAGAAUGAUAUAUUUUAUCUACAAAAUUAUUUGUCUUAUUCUGACUUGAAGCUUGAAUGUAAGAUCUCGUUUUAAAUAUUUGAUCGCACUCCGUAUCAAUUAAAUAUACAAAUUUAGUAAAUUAGUUGAGGACAUAUACAAAAUAAGAUAUUCAUAUACUCAAAUAAGAUCUACCGCAAAAAAUAAAUGUAUAUUUUUUCUGAGAAAAUAAUAAUAAGCUAACGUAACUAACAUUUCGUUUAUUUUUUAAAAAUAUAAAUUUAAUAAAAGGGUUAAUUUUAUAUAUGUCCCUGCAAAUAUAAUGAAUAGCAAAUAUAUUCCUAUAAAGUUCAACUUUCAUAUGUUGUCUCUGCAAAAGUUUUAAUGUUUUCAAAUAUAUUCCUCUGAUUUGUUAUCGUUAGAGAACCGUUUAUAUUUUCAAUUUUGUCAUCACAAAUAUAUCCCUCCAAAAACCAUACUAGUAUAAUAUAAAGGGAUAAAAAUGUCAAAAACUAACUAGAGUUCAGUAUUUAACCUAUGGUUAAUUAAUUUUUUCUAACUGAUUCUUACGACAGGAACAUAUUUGAAGAUAUCAACAGUUUUACAGAGACAAUAUAUAAAAAUUAAAUUACAUAAAAAUAUAUUUAUUAUUUAUUAUAUUUGAAAGGACACGUAUGAAAUUAACCGUCAGUAAA
rnacentral:lncRNA from 1 species